rnacentral:rRNA from 1 species
UCCGUAGGUGAACCUGCGGAAGGAUCAUUAGUGAAUUGCUUUUGGGAGUCCCUCUUUACCGGAGAAGGCCCAUCUCUUCAUUACACCCAUACACUUGUGCAUUUGUCCCCUUUUAAUUACCUUUUAACCCUUUAUGCAUUUGAAAUGGUUGUUGUUGCAUAUCAAAAUGAUAAACGAAAGAAAAACUUUCAGCAAUGGAUCUCUUGGCUCUCGCAUCGAUGAAGAACGCAGCAAAGCGCGAAAUGUAAUGUGAAUUGCAGAAUUCAGUGAAUCAUCGAAUCUUUGAACGCACCUUGCGCUCUUGGGUUAUUCCUAGGAGCAUGUUCGUUUCAGUGUCGCGUACCUUCUCAACCCCGCCCUCGUAACAAAGGGUCGUUAGGUGUUGGAUCAUGGCCUUUGCCCCUCUCUUUUUGCAGAGGGGCUGGGCUGAAUUACAAAAAGCUGUACCUUAUACUAGCGGCUUGACCCGUUGUCGUAAUAACACAAUUUCGACGGGGAUCGCUGGGCUUGGACGAGCUUACCACAAAUUGUACUUUCAUACAUUGACCUGAAAUCGAGCAGGACUACCCCCUGAACUUAAGCAUAUCAAUAAGGGGAGGA